CAUCGAACUAGAAAACCCAACAAAAUUGAGAUCAGAACCAACAAAAUUGAGAUCAGAAAACUUUACCAUUUCCAAGGAAUCUAUAGGAGCUUGGAAGAAGUGAAGCCAUGGGCGAAACUGUACAGAGAGAUCUGGUAUCGACAACUAGAAGAUAGUCUCUUAAACCCUAAGAGAGAGAGAGAUUUAGAGAGCUUAAUAAGAUGGAGAAAGCGAAAGCGCACAGAUAUCGAUGGAAGAGUGAAAGAGAAAGAGAGAGAUUUGUUGCCGUUACGCGAGUCCAAGGUCUCUCUUCGUUUUUGUCGC